UGGGGAAUAUUGCACAAUGGGCGAAAGCCUGAUGCAGCAACGCCGCGUGAGUGAUGAAGGCCUUCGGGUUGUAAAGCUCUGUCUUUUGGGACGAUAAUGACGGUACCAAAGGAGGAAGCCACGGCUAACUACGUGCCAGCAGCCGCGGUAAUACGUAGGUGGCAAGCGUUGUCCGGAUUUACUGGGCGUAAAGGAUGCGUAGGCGGAUUUUUAAGUGAGAUGUGAAAACCCUAAGCUUAACUUGGGGACUGCAUUUCAUACUGGAAAUCUAGAGUGCGGGAGAGGAGAAUGGAAUUCCUAGUGUAGCGGUGAAAUGCGUAGAGAUUAGGAAGAACACCAGUGGCGAAGGCGAUUCUCUGGACCGUAACUGACGCUGAGGCAUGAAAGCGUGGGUAACAAACAGGAUUAGAUACCCUGGUAGUCCACGCCGUAAACGAUGAGUACUAGGUGUAGGAGGUAUCGACCCCUUCUGUGCCGCAGUUAACACAAUAAGUACUCCGCCUGGGAAGUACGAUCGCAAGA
rnacentral:rRNA from 1 species